UUCGAUUAAUUAAAAAAAGAUUUGACAGGGAGAAAAGCAAUUGCAACAAUCAUCACAUAAUUCGAGAUAACGAUUUAAGGUUCAAGUCUGGAGUCUCAAUUUUUAUUUUACAAAGAGAAAGAGCAAUUCCCAAAGUAUCAUUAGCCAGACCGAUUCGACGAGCUCUUCGCUGGACCUAACCCAAUGGGAUCGGAGUCAACAAUUAAGAUUACAUCCAUGUUUGUCUGAUCCCAAUCAUUGGACAUAGAAAGAGGGAGUCGAUGGUUUAUCAUUUUUGUGUAAUAAUUUUUGAAAAUGUAGUUUAUCAUGUGCUCUCCUAAUUUAAAAAGAAGAGAGCAAGAAAUGUUGUAUACUCCCGCCUUCUUAUUGGGCCGACCCAUGAUGUUGAGUUGAUAUAAUGAUAUCUUGAUAAAUCAACAGGUCCGAUCACCUAUAUUUAGUAAGAUUGGCAACAACUCUAGGGAUUUCCUUACCAUUUAUAGCGAUCUGAUUGUCGUUCACAAAGAUCCGCGUCACUCACUAGUCAAGUUUCGCCCUCGGCUCUUUCUGUUUCGCCGUCGAUCGCCUACACCAUAUCUUUCACUUGCUUACGUUCUUCUCUGUUCAUUUCUUGCCACUGAUUGGUUUCAUCUUCUAUUGCUUGCAAGCCUCGUCUGGUGUCCGUAACUAUCGCCUCACGCCUUAUGUAAGUUAAUUCUCUUAAGAUUCAGUGAUAUGUAAGUGGCACUUCCUCAUUUGUUGAUUAAACAUCAUUCGGUACCAGAUAUUUGUUAUCUGUCAUUUCAUGGCACACUGAUUUCUGAUGUAAUAAAAAUUGUGUACAUAGUGAGAGUUUUUAAAUCGGGUCGAUCAAAAUCUGAGAUAAAAUAUUGAACUGGAGCCCAAUCCAGUUUAGGUGUCGGGUUUGUUCGGGUACGGGUUUAAUAAAUUAUUUGACUAUUUUGCAUUAAAAAAAUAAUUUGAAAAUUAUAAUUAAAUAAUUUUUAAAUUUUAUAAAAAUCAAAUAAUAUGUAUGUGAAGAUGGAGAGUUUGUGAAGAUGAAGAGGUUCGACGACGGUGAGGAGAAAGCCGACGACAACGAAGAGAGGGAAAAUAAAAGCGAAAGAGAAGAGGAAAAUAAAAUUAGAGUUUAAAUUUUAGAAUAUAAAAUUAACUAAUUAAGGUUUAUAAAAGAUGAG
rnacentral:lncRNA from 1 species